UAACAUGUUAUCUAACUGUAC
rnacentral:piRNA from 1 species